rnacentral:rRNA from 1 species
GUCUUUUUGAUAAUAAUUUAAASUCUAACCUGCCCAUUGAUUAAUUAAAAGGCCGCAGUAUUUUGACUGUGCAAAGGUAGCAUAAUCAUUAGUUUCUUAAUUAGAAACUGGAAUGAAUGGUUGAAUAAAAAAAAUUCUGUCUCAAAUUUAUAAUUUUGAAUUUUAUAUUUAAGUUAAAAAGCUUAAAUUUUUUUAAAAGACGAGAAGACCCUAUAGAGUUUUAUAAAAAUAGAAUUUUAAAUUUAUAAGAAUAAAAUUUUAAAAUUAAAUUUUUAUUUUAUUGGGGUGAUAGAAAAAUUUAAUAAACUUUUUUUAAAAAUUAAACAUAAAUUAAUGAAUUUUUGAUCCAUAAUAAUGAUUAAAAGAUUAAAUUACCUUAGGGAUAACAGCGUAAUUUUUUUUUAGAGUUCAAAUCGAUAAAAGAGAUUGCGACCUCGAUGUUGGAUUAAAGUAAAAUUAUGGUGUAGAAGCUAUAAGAUUAGGUCUGUUCGACCUUUAAAACUUUACA